rnacentral:rRNA from 1 species
CGGAAGAGACCUACUUCCCUGAAGUUCUUGCCUGGUGUCCCACUGAAGCUAAGCAGGGUUGAGCCUGGACAGUACCUGGAUGGGAGACCUCCUGGGGAAAACCAAGGUUGCUGCUGG